UAACGAUGAACCACUUCGGUGGGGAUUAUUCGCGAACGGGUGAGUAACACGUGGGCAAUCUGCCCUUCACUCUGGGACAAGCCCUGGAAACGGGGUCUAAUACCGGAUAACACUUCCACUCUCCUGAGUGGAGGUUGAAAGCUCCGGCGGUGAAGGAUGAGCCCGCGGCCUAUCAGCUUGUUGGUGAGGUAAUGGCUCACCAAGGCGACGACGGGUAGCCGGCCUGAGAGGGCGACCGGCCACACUGGGACUGAGACACGGCCCAGACUCCUACGGGAGGCAGCAGUGGGGAAUAUUGCACAAUGGGCGCAAGCCUGAUGCAGCGACGCCGCGUGGGGGAUGACGGCCUUCGGGUUGUAAACCUCUUUCAGCAGGGAAGAAGCGCAAGUGACGGUACCUGCAGAAGAAGCGCCGGCUAACUACGUGCCAGCAGCCGCGGUAAUACGUAGGGCGCAAGCGUUGUCCGGAAUUAUUGGGCGUAAAGAGCUCGUAGGCGGCUUGUCACGUCGGGUGUGAAAGCUCGGGGCUUAACCCCGGGUCUGCAUUCGAUACGGGCUGGCUGGAGUGUGGUAGGGGAGAUCGGAAUUCCUGGUGUAGCGGUGAAAUGCGCAGAUAUCAGGAGGAACACCGGUGGCGAAAGCGGAUCUCUGGGCCAUUACUGACGCUGAAGAGCGAAAGCGUGGGAGCGACAAGAAUAAAUACCUGGUAGUCCACCCGUAACGGUGGCACUAGGGUGGGCACAUUCACGUUGUCGUGCCCA
rnacentral:rRNA from 1 species